GGGGUUUAUUCAUAAGGCAGCCCGCCCUUCGGCCCCUCUUUCUCCGCUUCCUCUUCACGCAGAUCACUGGGAUCAUGGCCUGUUCCCGAGGAAGCAGUUUAUGUGAAAGGAAAAAUAGGAUUCUGCUAGUCCAUGGUGGUCUUUUGAUUAAUACAUUUAAAUCAUCGUUACCAUGAAGAAGUGUUACGCAGUUCCUGGAAAGGUUGUUGUGAGGAGAAGUGAUCAAUGGUGAUUCAGUUGGCCCGGGUUUCUGUAGAGCAACAACGGGGGUUUGAUCUUUAUGCGUUGCUGCAGUCCUCCAUCAAUCCAUCAACCCUUUUCAUGUUCAGAACAGUUCCCAAUUCUUCCCCUGGGAAGUGGAUUAGUAUGGAGGAAGGUUGCACUGACGGAUGGAAUUGGCUUAGAUAGAGUUUCUCACUGAGAGAAAGAAUGGCCCUGAAAACUCAACACUUAAAACAGACGGAUUACCAGCAGUAAUGCUUGCCUUUCUUUUUUACUACAAUUUCUAAAAUGGAGCUUGAUUUAAGCCCACAGAAAUGUGUAAACAACAUCUUUUUGAAUAGUACUGUAACUGGAACAUAUAAAAACAUUGUUUUGAAUGUCUAUGAUGCUAGAUGGACUAUCUAGAACAACUCUAAAAAGCUAAGAGAGAAAAUCAAAUGGCACUCAUAUAUUGACGUGUCCUCUCAAUUACCCUUAACACACACUUUGGAAUGAUUGAGGUCACCCAGCUUGGACUAUGGCCAGUAUCAGUAAUGAUUGUGAUUCUCAGAUAUCCUGUAUUGCUUUUUAAUCGGUAUGUGUGAUAAUUGUGACCAUUGAAGUACAUCGUAGGUCCAUCU